rnacentral:rRNA from 1 species
UACGGGGGGGGUAAGCGUUGUUCGGAAUUACUGGGCGUAAAGCGCGUGUAGGCGGUCCGGUAAGUCCGCUGUGAAAGUCGGGGGCUCAACCCUCGGAUGCCGGUGGAUACUGUCGGGCUUGAGUACGGAAGAGGCGAGUGGAAUUCCUGGUGUAGCGGUGAAAUGCGCAGAUAUCAGGAGGAACACCAAUUGCGAAGGCAGCUCGCUGGGACGUUACUGACGCUGAGACGCGAAAGCGUGGGGAGCAAACAGG